AGCCACAUUACGUUGAAACAUGGGUUCCCGUACGAUCUUGGAAGUUAAGCAACGUCGAACCUGGUUAUUACUUAGAUGGGUGACUGCUUGGGAAUACCAGGUGCUGUAAG